AUGCCUCGAGAUCAAGAGGUCAUCUUUGCGAGCAAUGUCGAACAAGCGGCAGAGAAGAUCUCUCGUUAUUAUCUAGUGGAUACGAGUAGGGCUGCACAUAAGCCCAUCUAUUUUGAUGGAUAUCAAGGCCUGGCUGCUUCUGCGGUGCUUAGAGCAAUAGACAAGCACCCUCCUCCGUAUCUGUUGGAAAGAUUCGACAAGAUCAUCCACGUUGAUUGCUCCAGGUGGAAAAGCCGAAGAGCACUCCAAAGGACAAUCGCACAAAUACUGGAGCUUCCUCAUCGGGUGAUGGCUGCCAUUGAUAGGCAAGACAGGGAAGAUGAUUUCACUGGGACAGAUGAAGCAUCAAGAGGUGAGAUUAAUGAUGUCGGGAGAGAGAUCCACCGAACCCUACAAGAACACAGAUGUUUAAUCCUAUUCUGCAAUGGAAGCAACGACACUGUUGAUUUGUAUGAUUUUGGCAUUCCUCGGUCUGAGGUGGUGCCUGUCCCAUGUCUCCAACGAAUCAUCAUGAUGGGUUGUGAGCAGCUUCGUGCCGUGCUUUGGCCAGAAAUGGGGGUGCCCAGACUAACUUUGCUAGUCAUUGACACCCGAGGAGAAAAGGUCGAAAGAACACUACCAGAUUUAGACAAGCUAAAAAAGGGACAUCAUCAUGGAUAUGUUGCUACAAUGGACAUGAGAUUCAUUCAGUCACUAGUGCGAAGAAGUUACAAUAUCUUUUGGUCCCCAUACACCGUUGGAUGUAGUCUAAACCUCUGCAUAUCUGCUGGCGGACAGUGGUGCAGCAACGAGAAGAUGGGCUCUGACAGCAUAUCAGGGCCACCCCUAGCGAAGUCAUUAUUUCCCAAUCACUCUUACAACACCUACAAUGAUUUUGCUGUUGAUGACAUAAGUAUUGAUCAUGACUACAGCAGCGCAGUGCAGUUUCAGCCGGGGGACUACCAUGUGGAGAUUGGUGAUGGAUUUAGCAACACUAGCGUGGAAACCAUCCCAGGAAUGAAAGCUAUCAUCUUAGUGAUGGACAAGGCUGAGUCGCUGCAUGUGCAUGACAAUUCUUCCAUCACUACUGCCAACCCUGGAAACAUCCCUGGACUCAUGAAGUCCGGUCAAGUGCUGAAACUUGGUUGGAAUUGUCUCAAAUGGUGUCGUGUGGAGCGAUGUCCCAAGCUACACACAGUAUUCGAUGCUAACCACGUUUAUUGCAAUUUUGAAGAACUAGAGAGCAUUUGGGCAGCUGAUCUUCCAAUGGCCCGCUGCAUUUGGAGCGAAGGAUCGGCCAGGUAUUACUCGGCACGUGCUCAUAGGUAUGCGAAACUGCAGAGCAUACACCUUCACUCCUGCCCGAGGCUCACAUUUAUCCUCCCACUGUCGUGGUUGGACACCUUGAGAAACUUGGAGACCAUCCACAUCGUCUUCUGUGGCGAUCUGAAAGUGGUGUUCCCAGUGGAGCAGAAGCUCGACCUGAGCAUUUCAACAUACAUACCUAUGGCGUUCAUAAGUGGUACACUGGAGUUCCCCAACCUGAAGCAUGUGUACCUGCACGACCUCCACAAGCUGCAGCAGAUAUGCGAAGCCAAGAUGUUUGCUCCCAAGCUCGAGACCAUCAGGGUCAGGGGCUGCUGGGGUCUGAGGCGCCUCCCAGCCAUCGGCCGAGACAACCACCCUGUCGUGGACUGCGAGAAGGAUUGGUGGGACAAGCUGGAGUGGGACGGUCAGGAGGCCGGCCAUCAUCCUUCCCUCUUCAAGACGCACCACUCGUCUUAUUACAAGAUGCCCCUGGAGAGAAUUUCCGUUCUCCGGUGA
rnacentral:rRNA from 1 species